GAUCCUGGCUCAGGAUGAACGCUAGCGACAGGCUUAACACAUGCAAGCGAGGGGCAGCAUAAAGUAGCAAUACUUGGUGGCGACCGGCGCACGGGUGAGUAACGCGUAUGCAACCUACCUAUCAGAGGGAAUAACCCGGCGAAAGUCGGACUAAUACCGCAUAAAACAGGGGCACCGCAUGGUGAUAUUUGUUAAAGAAAUUCGCUGAUAGAUGGGCAUGCGUUCCAUUAGGUAGUUGGUGAGGUAACGGCUCACCAAGCCGACGAUGGAUAGGGGAACUGAGAGGUUGGUCCCCCACACUGGUACUGAGACACGGACCAGACUCCUACGGGAGGCAGCAGUGAGGAAUAUUGGUCAAUGGGCGGGAGCCUGAACCAGCCAAGUCGCCGUGAAGGAAGAAGGAUCUAUGGUUCGUAAACUUCUUUUGCAGGGGAAAUAAAGUGCAGGACGUGUCCUGUUUUGUAUGUACCCUGAGAAUAAGGAUCGGCUAACUCCGUGCCAGCCGCCGC
rnacentral:rRNA from 1 species